rnacentral:tRNA from 1 species
GCGGAUGUAGCUCAGUUGGUAGAGCUUCUGCCUUCCAAGCAGAAUGUCGAGGGUUCAAGUCCCUUCAUCCGCUCCA